rnacentral:rRNA from 1 species
AGUGAACGCUGGCGUAGGCCUAACACAUGCCAGUCGAACGGCAGCACAGUAAGAGCUUGCUCUUACGGGUGGCGAGUGGCGGACGGGUGAGGAAUACAUCGGAAUCUACUUUUUCGUGGGGGAUAACGUAGGGAAACUUACGCUAAUACCGCAUACGACCUACGGGUGAAAGCAGGGGAUCUUCGGACCUUGCGCGAUUGAAUGAGCCGAUGUCGGAUUAGCUAGUUGGCGGGGUAAAGGCCCACCAAGGCGACGAUCCGUAGCUGGUCUGAGAGGAUGAUCAGCCACACUGGAACUGAGACACGGUCCAGACUCCUACGGGAGGCAGCAGUGGGGAAUAUUGGACAAUGGGCGCAAGCCUGAUCCAGCCAUACCGCGUGGGUGAAGAAGGCCUUCGGGUUGUAAAGCCCUUUUGUUGGGAAAGAAAAGCAGCAGGUUAAUACCCCGCUGUUCUGACGGUACCCAAAGAAUAAGCACCGGCUAACUUCGUG